rnacentral:ncRNA from 1 species
AUGAUAGAGGCGCGGGCUUCAAGAGUACCAUGACAAAACGGCAGGGCAGCCGUCAUCGGGAAAGGGGAUACCGCCGAAGGAUUUCGACCGCCAGAAGGGGAGAUCCUGGGAUACUGCAGAAUAUGCAGUGUACUGUCACAUGUGUGGAGCGCUAUCAG